GGUCCCGUAGUGUAGCGGUUAACACGCCUGCCUGUCACGCAGGAGAUCGUGGGUUCGAUUCCCGUCGGGACCGCCA
rnacentral:tRNA from 1 species